UCCCUGGAGGACUAGUGGUUAUGCCACAACGCUCUCACUGCUGCGGCCUGGGUUCGAUUCCUGGCCAGGGAG
rnacentral:tRNA from 1 species